AGCAGUAAAUCCAGUGGAAGUUUAGAUGUUUUAUUCCCAGGGUAAGUUUCAGGGGGAAUCCCUGACUCCUGUGUCCACCACCAGCCAGACCUUACUAGACUAGUGGGCAUUACUAGAUGUGGGCAUGAAAAUAACAUGAACUACCCGAUGGACAAGUUUCCCAGACACAUUCUUGUGGUUUGCUACUUGUUUUUAGCAUUUUAGUCACCACUUUAAGUUUCUAAUUACAGGGUUUUGUUUUUAUUUUUAAAAACAAUGUGGUCUUGAUGGAGGUAAUCUCUGUAGUGUACAUUCUCUGCAUUACUCACAAUCUUUUCUUAACAAAUACAGAGUAGUUAUAGUCUGUGUAUCCUGACACUUCAGAGAAUUUAAUUUUAAUGCUGGCAAGAGUUGCAAAGGUGAUUUCUUACUGCAUAUAGUUAAGGAGAAUGCUAAGGAGAUGAAGUAGGGUGCUUGAGGACCCGAGGCUGGUUAUUAUCAGAGUUGAGACCUAGAACAUAUAUAUUUUGAAUCUCGGUUUGUUCUCUUUCUCUAUAUUUACCCAAUUUUUGUUUUGUUUUAUUUUUUGUUUUGAGAUGGAGUUUCACUCUUGUUACCCAGGAUGGAGUGCAAUGGCGCGAUCUCAGCUCACUGCAACCUCCGCCUCCUGGGUUCAAGCAAUUCUCCUGCCUCAGCCUCCCGAGUAGCUGGGACUACAGCUUCACAACUCACCUUGGUGCAUCUCUGUCCCACACGGGAUUCAGAAGUCUAAUCAGGAAUGUAAUUAGGAACAUGAUGCAGAUGGGCAAGGCCUGUCCCUUCCUUCUUCAGCUGCUGUGUGGUGCCAGUUCAAACCCAGGUGCACCAUUGCUCACUGAA
rnacentral:lncRNA from 1 species